UGCGUCCCUACAGGCUUGCUAGUGAGAGUAGCCGACCGCUUUGCUUGUUGAUUGGACAAAUUGGACGUCCAUCAGUGAAGGGCAUCAAGAGGCGUGACUAUAGGAGGGCGGCUUUCCUCCUGCGGGCGUUCGAGGCCUGUCCGGAUACCCCAGGAUGAUAGGGCAGGCGCAAGGCGGGGCUUCUGCCGCCCGGGGCACGCCGGGAAGGAGUCACAUCUAGACGCAACUUCCGGUUCCGCUCGCGGCGGCUGAUUGCUACGGUAACGCGGCCGGUAGUCCUGCGAUGGCGGGCGCCAGAGAGGUGGUGGGUCUCCGCGUUUCCCCAGCUGAAGUGAGCCGCGAACCUGGCGUGCCCUGGCCUGCCCAGGGCUCCAGCCUCGGACCCGCCAUGUACGUGGGCAGCCACGCCGUGUCCUGCUGCCUCACCUGGGAUUCUUCCUCUAGAAUGAUGUUUUUUAGCUUAAAAAUAUAAUUCUGUAUGUAUGGUCUGCGCGCAUGCACCUGCCACAGCGUGUGAGCAGAAGUCAGAAGACAACUUUGUACAGUCAGGGCUCUACUUCCGCCUUUUAUAAGGGUCCAGUGAUGGAACUCUGGCUUGCAGGACCCUUUGAUUCCAGGCACCAUACAAAGAUGUUCCCAAGAAACACGGAAGUGAAACAGCUGCUCGGAAAGUCAAGCAUUGUGUCCUUAAUGGCAGAGUCAGUUUAGUCGCCCCCAGCAUCCGGGAGCUUUUUUUUUUUUAAUGGUUACACUGCUGUAAGUAGUUUUACUUUAAAUAAAUAAAUAAAUAAAUAAAUAAAUAAAUAAAUAAAUAAAUAAAUACUGGCAA